rnacentral:rRNA from 1 species
UGGGGAAUAUUGGGCAAUGGGCGCAAGCCUGACCCAGCAACGCCGCGUGAGUGAAGAAGGUUUUCGGAUUGUAAAGCUCUGUCCUCAAGGACGAAGUCAGUGACGGUACUUGAGGAGGAAGCCCCGGCUAACUACGUGCCAGCAGCCGCGGUAAUACGUAGGGGGCGAGCGUUGUCCGGAAUUACUGGGCGUAAAGGGAGCGUAGGCGGCUUAUUAAGUUAGAUGUGAAAUACCCGGGCUUAACUUGGGGGGUGCAUCUAAAACUGGUGAGCUUGAGUGCAGGAGAGGAAAGCGGAAUUCCUAGUGUAGCGGUGAAAUGCGUAGAUAUUAGGAGGAACACCGGUGGCGAAGGCGGCUUUCUGGACUGUAACUGACGCUGAGGCUCGAAAGCGUGGGGAGCAAACA